rnacentral:rRNA from 1 species
UACGUAGGGGGCAAGCGUUGUCCGGAAUCAUUGGGCGUAAAGAGCGUGUAGGCGGUCCGGUAAGUCGGCUGUGAAAGUCCAGGGCUCAACCCUGGGAUGCCGGUCGAUACUGUCGGACUAGAGUUCGGAAGAGGCGAGUGGAAUUCCCGGUGUAGCGGUGAAAUGCGCAGAUAUCGGGAGGAACACCUAUGGCGAAGGCAGCUCGCUGGGACGUUACUGACGCUGAGACGCGAAAGCGUGGGGAGCAAACAGG